GUCUGCGUUCCCUUGGCGGCUCCCUGUGUUCGCGAUUGGUCUGGGGGGGUUGGGAGAGAAAUGGAAGAGAAAAGGAGGGGGCGGGUAGAAGGGGGACCAGGAGGAAAAUGAAGAGGGGAAAAAAAUCUUGAAAAAUAGCAGUCUACCCAUUCUACCUAGACUGCGUUGUGUCGCACCCCCACCCCACGCGAGAGAUUUGUAAAGCGCGCGCCGCGGAUGUACGUUCAAGCUAAUACCUAUAGACAGAUGUGUCCCCACUGGUUUCAAAGUUUCCUCUUCCCUUCACGCGCGGGCCCCCAUCUCUGUCCUGCAGGAGGUGGGAAAGGAAGGCUUGCCUCGCGCAGAGCUCCUGUGGCCAAGCUUCUUGGAAAUCCGCCACUGCAACUUUGUGCAGCCGCGGCGCGCCGGCGGCGACCCUCUUUGUUUAAGUUCUCGGAUGCCAUCAUCUGGGAAACCUGCAGCCCUGUACCAGCGCGGGGCCCGCGCGUGCGAGUCCGACCGCUUGCUGCGGCUGCUCGCUCUCCAACCCCCCCUCCCUCCUUUCCUCCCUCCCACCCACCCUCCUCUGGGAUUCUUGCAAGUAUCGUGCGUGCCCUUGUGAGUUUGGAGGGUGCCGGUCAACGAAGCCACGCGAGGUAUUUGAAAGGCAAUCAGCCCGACCGUCCCCCUAGAUUCAUCGGAGAAGGAACUCAGUGAAUAUUGCCCUGGGUCCUGGUAAUUCCACCUACUGAAGACAACUGCCCCUUCUGCUCAUAUUUCCUGAGUCAACAUGGCCGUUCCUAACUUUGAAGAGACUUUAGACAUUCUUUGUUACAAUGAACCUAGAAGAAAGAAGAGAAAUAUUACAGCGACUGUGCCCGGGACUGUAAGGCGGAUAAGACCCAGCAGAAUAACUGCCAUGGAAGGAUGCUCCUCCUGCCAAUUGGCACUUAUCAAUGACAUCGAGGGAGAGGGACAGAGUGCCUAGGUAUGAGCCUUCAUCAAGUGGUAUGAAGGCCCUACCCCAACAGAAAGUGCUGAUGUGAUGAAAUGGUGCUUUGGACAAGACUUUUCCUCCAAGUUGGUCCUAUCCAGGGGUUGGCAAACAGGGUCCCUGGACAUCAUCCAUGUGGCAUACUCUUAUGAAUAAAGUUCUAUAGGACACAGACCUGC
rnacentral:lncRNA from 1 species